rnacentral:rRNA from 1 species
AGUGAACGCUGGCGGUAGGCCUAACACAUGCAAGUCGAACGGCAGCACAGUAAGAGCUUGCUCUUACGGGUGGCGAGUGGCGGACGGGUGAGGAAUAUAUCGGAAUCUACUUUUUCGUGGGGGAUAACGUAGGGAAACUUACGCCAAUAUCGCAUACGACCUACGGGUGAAAGCAGGGGAUCUUCGGACCUUGCGCGAUUGAAUGAGCCGAUGUCGGAUUUGUUAGUUGGCGGGGUAAAGGCCCACCAAGGCGACGAUCCGCAGCUGGACUGAGAGGAGGGUCAGCCACACUGGAACGGAGACACGGUCCAGACUCCUACGAGAGGCAGCAGUGGGGAAUAUUGGACAAUGGGCGCAAGCCUGAUCCAGCCAUACCGCGUGGGUGAAGAAGGCCUUCGGGUUGUAAAGCCCUUUUGUUGGGAAAGAAAAGCAGCAGGUUAAUACCCCGCUGUUCUGACGGUACCCAAAGAAUAAGCACCGGCUAACUUCGUG